rnacentral:rRNA from 1 species
CAGGAUGAACGCUGGCGGCGUGCUUAACACAUGCAAGUCGAACGAUGAACCCCGCUUGCGGGGGGAUUAGUGGCGAACGGGUGAGUAACACGUGAGUAACCUGCCCUUAACUCUGGGAUAAGCCUUGGAAACGGGGUCUAAUACUGGAUAUUGACUUUUCCUCGCAUGGGGAUUGGUUGAAAGAUUUAUUGGUUUUGGAUGGACUCGCGGCCUAUCAGCUUGUUGGUGAGGUAAUGGCUCACCAAGGCGACGACGGGUAGCCGGCCUGAGAGGGUGACCGGCCACACUGGGACUGAGACACGGCCCAGACUCCUACGGGAGGCAGCAGUGGGGAAUAUUGCACAAUGGGCGAAAGCCUGAUGCAGCGACGCCGCGUGAGGGAUGACGGCCUUCGGGUUGUAAACCUCUUUCAGUAGGGAACAAGGCCAGUGUUUAGCUGGUUGAGGGUACUUGCAGAAGAAGCGCCGGCUAACUACGUGCCAGCAGCCGCGGUAAU